GCCUAAUACAUGCAAGUCGUACGCACUGGCCCAACUGAUUGAUGGUGCUUGCACCUGAUUGACGUUGGAUCACCAGUGAGUGGCGGACGGGUGAGUAACACGUAGGUAACCUGCCCCGGAGCGGGGGAUAACAUUUGGAAACAGAUGCUAAUACCGCAUAACAACAAAAGCCACAUGGCUUUUGUUUGAAAGAUGGCUUUGGCUAUCACUCUGGGAUGGACCUGCGGUGCAUUAGCUAGUUGGUAAGGUAACGGCUUACCAAGGCGAUGAUGCAUAGCCGAGUUGAGAGACUGAUCGGCCACAAUGGAACUGAGACACGGUCCAUACUCCUACGGGAGGCAGCAGUAGGGAAUCUUCCACAAUGGGCGCAAGCCUGAUGGAGCAACACCGCGUGAGUGAAGAAGUAUUUCGGUAUGUAAAGCUCUAUCAGCAGGGAAGAAAAUGACGGUACCUGACUAAGAAGCCCCGGCUAACUACGUGCCAGCAGCCGCGGUAA
rnacentral:rRNA from 1 species